rnacentral:ncRNA from 1 species
AAGUUGUUGUAGUUAAAAAGCUUGUAGUUGGAUCUUGGGUCAUAAAGGUCGGUCUGCCUACUCGGUGUGCACCUACCCUUCCAUCCCUUUUGUCGGCGGUGUUCUCAUGGCCUUAAUUGGUCGGGUUGCGGUUUUGGCGUUGUUACUUUGAAAAAAUUAGAGUGCUCAAAGCAAGCUUAUGCUCUGAUACCAAAUGUUAUGAUCCAAAAUGCUCAAAAUAUAAAAAAAAUAACAGAAGUACACACCAUGUACAAAAUUUCUG